rnacentral:misc_RNA from 1 species
AACUUUUAACAAUGGAUCACUUGGUUCUCGCAUCGAUGAAGAACGCAGCGAAAUGCGAUACGUAAUGUGAAUUGCAGAAUUUGUGAAUCAUCGAAUCUUUGAACGCACAUUGCGCUCUCUGGUAUUCCGGAGAGCAUGCCUGUUUGAGCGUCAUUAAAACCUCUCAAUCAUUUGAAUGUUUGCGCAUGCGAAUGGUUGGUGUUGGACAUUGUGCGCGGCACCUUUAUGGAGCUGUGCUUGUCUGAAAGAUAUUGCAACGAAAACGUAAUAAGAAAUUACCUCGUGAUCGGACUGCACAAUCAUGGGCUCAAUCUAUUUGGGUCUACUUCUAAUUUUGACCUCAAAUCAGGUAGGACUACGCGCUGAACUUAAGCAUAUCAAUAAGCGGAGGCU